rnacentral:antisense_RNA from 18 species
CACCCACCGUGGCUGGCGCCGCAGGCGCCCGUGACCGGAAUUGGAACAGGGGCCGGUACAGGCGCACGAUGGGGGAGCAGAGGGCCGGCAGUCGGGGGACUGUCCGGCCCUGUUUU